CGUUGGAACACCGGUUCUCGUACGAUCAGUGAAGUUAAGCAACGUUGGACCGGCUCAGUACAUAGAUGGGUGACCGCUUGAGAAAAUUAGGUGCUGCAAU